GUGAGAGCACCUGCAGCUGUACCUGAUGCCAUACUUCCAGCCUUGUCUGUAGCCCCUGGGCUGGGCUGGUGGGAAGGAGUGAGGGGCCGCGGCCUUGUGGGUGGCCAGGUCUGAGUGGGCCUCUUUUGGACCUUCUGCCAGAUUUGCUGCGUGAACUACGUGCUAAGGAAGAGGAUGUGUCACCUGCACCUGCCACUGGAAGUUCUCCCCAGGCAGAGGUGAAGAAGCAAGAAAAAUGGCAUUGGGGUCUGGACAGGAGAAAUAACUCAGGUGGGGCGCCUCACAGCUCAGGCUGGGAAGGAAGACCACGGCAGCCUCUGCCCAUGGACGUGGUGACCAUGAGCCAACCAUGGGGGACCUCAGCAAGACCAGAAGCCUCAGGCUGGGCUGGGCUCCUCAACUCUGGGAGGAACGUGGAGAGCCUGUGAUGGAGGGCACACCAGAACCACCAGCAGGCAGGCCGCUGCGGUGUGCGGUCGAGCGGAGCUCCAGAGAGCGAGGUCAGCCCUAGGAACAAAGCCAGAGCCUGCCUUCAUUUUCCCUGCUGAGCUGCUCCCCAGAGCCACCCAGACUGCAAAGCCUCUGCCGCCUUCUGGAUUGUGCCCAUCCUAAUGCCACCGCCAGAACAGUCAGCACCUCCAGCCAGGCUGUACUGCUCCCCACCGCUCUGCUCCAGGAGUGAGGCCAAGUCUGGCAGGCAGCGCACUCCCUUGGACAGGUGCGUUCACAGGCCUCCAAGCUACCUACAUCUCUGUCAACAAUUUUUAACUUGUCUCAGCAAUGUUUUGCUGUUUUCAGUGCCCGGGUUUUGCCCAUAUUUUGUUAAAUUAUCCCUAAAUAUUUCAUACAUUUAAGAAAAUUUAAAUUUCCAACUUAACACUACUCUAUAGAAUAUAAUGGAUUUUGGUUACAUCCUGUAACCUUGCUGUCAACAUUUCUAGUUGUUUUGUAAAAUUCCUUGUUUUCUAUGUAGACAACCAAGUUGUCAUUGGGGAAUAAAGUUUUACCCCCCCUCCACACCAACCUAUAUGAUUUUCAUUUUUCUUCUCAUAACGCACCUGGCAUGUCCUUUAGUACAUGCUUGUUCAUACUUUUAAGAGAAAAAUCACUUAAUACUUCACAAUUGUUAACUGUGGGGUUUCUUUGCAGGUGCCCUUUAUCAGGUUGAGGAAAUUCACUUCUAUUUCUCAAUUGGUGAGAACUCAUGUGACUUGGUAUAGAAUUUUGUCAGAUACUUCUAUAUCUACUAAGAUGCUCAUAUGAUUUUGCUCUAUAUCAAAUACAUAAAAAUGAUAUAAAUUGGUUUUUGAAUGUGAAAACAAUCCUGGGAUAAAUUCUAAUUUGUCAUAAUGUACUUUCCUUUUGCUAAACUGUUUAAAAUGAUUUCCUAGAAUUUUGUUAAAGAUUUUUCCAUCUGUAUUCAGAGGGAUGUUGGUGUGCAGUUUUUGUUUCUUGUAAUGUCACUGUCUGGUUUUCCUAUUGGGUUAACACUGUUUUCACAGACUAAGGCAGGAAGUGUGUGCUCCUCUUUGAUUUUUCUGGAUGCAUUUGUGCAGUAUUUGUAUAACAACUCCCUUAAAUUUUUGGUAAAAUUCACCAAUCCA